rnacentral:rRNA from 1 species
AUGCUCUGUUUCUACUUUCUACCUAUACAUGGCCCAUGCAUGAUUCUGAUUGUUCGAUUGUGGUGUCUUGCAGCCGGUUGCUGCGGGUACGGCGCGGCGGCCGCGUCCCUCAACGGCGACCUGCUCGCCGGGGCCGGCCCGGCCCUGUACAGACAAGGCGUCGGCUGCGGCGCGUGCUUCCAGGUGCGGUGCAAGGACGAGGAGCUCUGCGCUACCGCCGGCGUGAAGGUCGUCGUCACCGACCGCGCCAGGACGAAGACGAACGACACCGACCUCGUGCUGAGCAGCCCGGCGUUCGCUGCCAUGGCCCGCCCCGGCAUGGCUGGGCGGCUCGCCAAGCUCGGCGCCGUCGACGUCGAGUACAAGAGGGUGCCGUGCGUGUACGAGGGCAAGAACCUCUCGCUGCGGGUGGAUGAGCGGAGCCGCGCGCCCAGCGAGCUCGCCAUCACGAUCCUCUACCAGGGCGGCCAGACCGACAUCGUCGAGGUCGACGUCGCGCAGGUCGGUUCGUCGUCGAGCUGGACGUCCCUGACACGAGACCACGGGCCGGCGUGGAGCACGAGCGAGGCGCCACCGGGGCCACUGCAGCUGAGGGCGGUGGUGACCAGCGGGUUCGACGGGGCAUGGGUCUAUGCCGAACAUGAAGUCCUGCCGAGCCAGUGGCACGCCGGCGAGGUCUACGACACCGGCGUCCAGAUCACCGCCAUCGCCCAAGAAGCCUGCCUCCCCUGCGACACGCAGGAGUGGAAGUGA